GCACGGCGUGCACAGGGGCUCCUCCAGCACCUGGCCGCACAGCUUGCACUCGAAAUCCGGGUCCACGGCUUCGGCGAAGCGCUCCAGGGCAAAGCCCAUGAAUGGAAGCUCCGCGAGAGCAGGAUCUUCGUCCGGCUUUCCGCUGAAUCCACAUCACCAUACAUUAAGGCGUUCUUCAAUAAAUGGGUUACACUUCUGUUCUUUCAAAUCAGUCAACUACAAAAGCAUGAGCUAAGUGGCUGGGACCGAAGGAAAUCACUAUGAGGUAUCUCAGAGCCAGGCUUCUCAAAUCACGAUCCAGAAAGCAGGUACCCAUGGUCAACUGCUUUCUGAAAAUAUUAUAUGGAAAAUUCCAGAAAUAAACAAUUCAUCGAUUUUAGAUUGCACAGCAUUCUGAGCAGUGCCAUCCCACUCCAGCUCACUCAGGGUUCCCAACUCUGGACGUCAUCAUGGCUUGAUGAUCCGGGAUGCCCCCAAAGCAGAUGGUCCUCCAUCUGACCUAUCGUCGGAAGGCAGCCACUGGAGGUCUUGGAGCAUAUCUUCCACGGAAAAAGAGGACUCCUGCAACUCUCCGUUGGGUUCUGAAACCACUUGUUUGCCGAUUUUGCACAACUCAAAGGUAAUCCAUAAAUAGCUAAUAUUAUUUAUUAACAAUAUAUUUCAUGAUAAUAACAUACUUUUUUUUAAAUAAGAGGAAUUAGAAAUUCCACAUGAAAACUCUGUUGACUAGAACAGGGUCUAAGAAGCAAAGAGAUACCACUGUUUGUUCUAUCACACCAGGGGUUUGGGGCUGAAUUAUUUAAUCUCAGUACAAUUUCAGGUGUAAAAU